rnacentral:rRNA from 1 species
AUUGAACGCUGGCGGCAUGCUUUACACAUGCAAGUCGAACGGUAACAGGCCGCAAGGUGCUGACGAGUGGCGAACGGGUGAGUAAUGCAUCGGAACGUGCCCAGUCGUGGGGGAUAACGCAGCGAAAGCUGUGCUAAUACCGCAUACGAUCUAUGGAUGAAAGCGGGGGACCGUAAGGCCUCGUGCGAUUGGCGCGGCCGAUGUCAGAUUAGGUAGUUGGUGGGGGAAAGGCCUACCAAGCCGACGAUCUGUAGCUGGUCUGAGAGGACGACCAGCCACACUGGGACUGAGACACGGCCCAGACUCCUACGGGAGGCAGCAGUGGGGAAUUUUGGACAAUGGGCGCAAGCCUGAUCCAGCAAUGCCGCGUGCAGGAAGAAGGCCUUCGGGUUGUAAACUGCUUUUGUACGGAACGAAACGGUCUGGGUUAAUACCCUGGGCUAAUGACGGUACCGUAAGAAUAAGCACCGGCUAACUACGUGCCAGCAGCCGCCGUAACAC